rnacentral:rRNA from 1 species
AACGAACGCUGGCGGCAUGCCUAACACAUGCAAGUCGAACGAGACCUUCGGGUCUAGUGGCGCACGGGUGCGUAACGCGUGGGAAUCUGCCCUUGGGUUCGGAAUAACAGUUAGAAAUGACUGCUAAUACCGGAUGAUGGCUUCGGUCCAAAGAUUUAUCGCCCAGGGAUGAGCCCGCGUCGGAUUAGCUAGUUGGUAGGGUAAAGGCCUACCAAGGCGACGAUCCGUAGCUGGUCUGAGAGGAUGAUCAGCCACACUGGGACUGAGACACGGCCCAGACUCCUACGGGAGGCAGCAGUGGGGAAUAUUGGACAAUGGGCGAAAGCCUGAUCCAGCAAUGCCGCGUGAGUGAUGAAGGCCUUAGGGUUGUAAAGCUCUUUUACCCGGGAUGAUAAUGACAGUACCGGGAGAAUAAGCCCCGGCUAACUCCGUGCCAGCCGCCGCAGUAA